rnacentral:sRNA from 1 species
UUUAUAAUUGUUAUUAAGUAACGCUAUACCACGAAUCCAUGAGACAAUUGUUAAAAAAAUUGAAGUUUUAACCCUUAUUAAAACAACAUAUUAACAAUAUUU